rnacentral:lncRNA from 1 species
AUAACACUUUUCUUGAAUGAUUACUUAAAUGUUUAUUAACGUGCUUAUUUCAUAUUGGUAACACAUCAUAUGGUUAGUAAAUUUAGUCAAAAAUUUUGGUCUACUUAACAUUACUCUUGGUGGUGAAUGGAUGUCCAAGGUAGUACCUUGUGCCAAGUGUCUGUGUGUCGCACAGAACUUUCAACUUUUCUAUUUGUUUAUUUUGGAAAAUUCUUCUAGUAGUAUUUAUUGAUAUGAAAAAUUAAUUACUAAGAGUAAAAGUAAAAGAUCUAAGUCAUUUAGUAUUACAUCUAAUAGUAGUUUUUAGUGAGAGAGUAGUUUUAGGUUUAAUUAUCUCCAAAUACGACUUUGAGCUAAAUUCAAUGAGACUUAGCUACUCUCUCACCUAUUAGUGUAAAUAAUAUCGCAUGUAUAUACUAUAUAAUCUAACAGCUAAAACAAUCGAUAAUAUUGAAUAUUACAUAGUACUAAAGUCAGAUUAGUCUAACGACUCAAACACUCGAUAACAUUGAAUAUUAUAUAGCAUUAAAGUCAGACCCGUAAUUUAUUACUUUGUUUGAAAGAAUUUUAUUCAAUCAAGCAUUCCUAAAACCUUAGUGUCACAGCCUGUCUUGAAAUAAAUUUUUUGAUGGUGUGAAUUGUCUAGAAUACCCUUGGAUGUUGAGUACGUUGUGUGAUGUUGUGGUUUGAGUUUGGGUUUUAGACUAAUCUAAUUAGUUCCUAAAUUUUUGGAACUUAAAAUUUGUGGUUGUUGUUUGUUGUGAUUGGCUGCAAACUGGACCACACACACACACCAACCCAUCCCGUUGACUCUCUCUCUCUCGGAUUUUAUCCAUUUUCCGUACAACGUACGGACAACCUUCAAAUCUUCACUUCCAGUCACAGAUUAAGGUUGUAGUUGGCACCU